rnacentral:rRNA from 1 species
GAUGAACGCUGGCGGCGUGCCUAAUACAUGCAAGUCGAGCGAACGGACGAGAAGCUUGCUUCUCUGAUGUUAGCGGCGGACGGGUGAGUAACACGUGGAUAACCUACCUAUAAGACUGGGAUAACUUCGGGAAACCGGGGCUGAUACCGGAUAAUAUUUUGAACCGCAUGGUUCAAAAGUGAAAGACGGUCUUGCUGUCACUUAUAGAUGGAUCCGCGCUGCAUUAGCUAGUUGGUAAGGUAACGGCUUACCAAGGCAACGAUGCAUAGCCGACCUGAGAGGGUGAUCGGCCACACUGGAACUGAGACACGGUCCAGACUCCUACGGGAGGCAGCAGUAGGGAAUCUUCCGCAAUGGGCGAAAGCCUGACGGAGCAACGCCGCGUGAGUGAUGAAGGUCUUCGGAUCGUAAAACUCUGUUAUUAGGGAAGAACAUAUGUGUAAGUAACUGUGCACAUCUUGACGGUACCUAAUCAGAAAGCCACGGCUAACUACGUG